GAGGCGCCAGAAAGUGAAAGCUGCUAACUUAUCACUAUAGCGGUUAAAAUCCGUUUACACCUCU
rnacentral:tRNA from 1 species